GACGAACGCUGGCGGCGUGCUUAACACAUGCAAGUCGAACGGAAAGGCCUGUCCUUCCUUGUGUUGGACGGGUACUCGAGUGGCGAACGGGUGAGUAACACGUGAGUGAUCUGCCCCCAACUUGGGUAUAAGCCUGGGAAACUGGGUCUAAUUCCCGAUAGGACUGCAGGGUGGUGCCUGUGGUGGAAAACGAUUUUCUAGUGGUUGGGGAUGAGCUCGCGGCCUAUCAGCUUGUUGGUGGGGUAAUGGCCUACCAAGGCGGCGACGGGUAGCCGGCCUGAGAGGGUGGACGGCCACAUUGGGACUGAGAGACGGCCCAGACUCCUACGGGAGGCAGCAGUGGGGAAUAUUGCAGAAUGGGCGGAAGCCUGAUGCAGCGACGCCGCGUGGGGGAUGACGGCCUUCGGGUUGUAAACUCCUUUCGACCGCGAGGAAGCCGCCUGGUUGGAAGGGUGGUGACGGUAGUGGUAGAAGAAGCACCGGCUAACUACGUG
rnacentral:rRNA from 1 species